GAGAACAAAGGCGUUGUUGUAGCCAUUUUGGCCAUGCUACAACGAUGCAGACAGCUCUCUUUGUCACUCCUACAACGUGCUUGUUCAAACAACACAUUUUCUUUCAGGUUUUGUGCUUUAGGCAGAGUGACAUGAUGCAGGAUGGAGUUGCGAAGAGUUCCAGGACAUGGUCAAAGAUGGCUGGAACAGUCGGAUGGAUUUGCAAUCAUGCAAUAAAGGCCCACAUGAGACGCCAUGGUCAAAUGGUUGGAGAUCGUUGAGAGUUUGCAGCUAUUGAUGAAAGUUGUUGUAAUAAUAGCAAGUAUCACCACAGAAGGGCCGGUGCAACAUGGCGACGGAAAAAGUGGGUAUUAAGAAUAUUAGGAGUAGGUGACCGCCAGAAACAUCCUGUCUUGUGGCUGGUGUGGUUAAACAAGUGCGUCCGGGAACCACCGUCAUCAGUGACCAAUGGGGCACUUACAGGAGUGCAUUGACUGCGACAGGCUACAGGCACUUCACAGUGAACCACUGUCAGUAGUUUGCGGAUCCAAACACCUUGCGCGCCUCCCAGUAUGUCAACCCCAGCUUUCUCUGUGGACCAUGCAACUUGGACUUUCCGAGUUUCAUAUAGGACAAUGCAUCUUGCUCUGCAUCUGUAAACCAUGGAUUCAUCUUUUGGACAUUUUCAGGAGAAUGGCUGUG